AGAGUUUGAUCCUGGCUCAGAGUGAACGCUGGCGGUAGGCCUAACACAUGCAAGUCGAACGGCAGCACAGGAGAGCUUGCUCUCUGGGUGGCGAGUGGCGGACGGGUGAGGAAUACAUCGGAAUCUACUCAGUCGUGGGGGAUAACGUAGGGAAACUUACGCUAAUACCGCAUACGACCUACGGGUGAAAGCAGGGGACCUUCGGGCCUUGCGCGAUUGAAUGAGCCGAUGUCGGAUUAGCUAGUUGGCGGGGUAAAGGCCCACCAAGGCGACGAUCCGUAGCUGGUCUGAGAGGAUGAUCAGCCACACUGGAACUGAGACACGGUCCAGACUCCUACGGGAGGCAGCAGUGGGGAAUAUUGGACAAUGGGCGCAAGCCUGAUCCAGCCAUACCGCGUGGGUGAAGAAGGCCUUCGGGUUGUAAAGCCCUUUUGUUGGGAAAGAAAUCCAGCUGGCUAAUACCCGGUUGGGAUGACGGUACCCAAAGAAUAAGCACCGGCUAACUUCGUGCCAGCAGCCGCGGUAAUACGAAGGGUGCAAGCGUUACUCGGAAUUACUGGGCGUAAAGCGUGCGUAGGUGGUCGUUUAAGUCCGUUGUGAAAGCCCUGGGCUCAACCUGGGAACUGCAGUGGAUACUGGGCGACUAGAAUGUGGUAGAGGGUAGCGGAAUUCCUGGUGUAGCAGUGAAAUGCGUAGAGAUCAGGAGGAACAUCCAUGGCGAAGGCAGCUACCUGGACCAACAUUGACACUGAGGCACGAAAGCGUGAGGAGCAAACAGGAUUAGAUACCCUGGUAGUCCACGCCCCUAAACGAUGCGAACUGGAU
rnacentral:rRNA from 1 species